GACGAAGGUGGCGAGCGUUGUUCGGAAUCACUGGGCAUAAAGCGCACGUAGGCGGCGACGUAAGUUGGGUGUGAAAUCCCUCGGCCCAACCGAGGAACUGCGCCCAGUACUGCGUUGCUUGAGGAUCCAAGGGGUGCAUGGAAUUCCCGGUGGAGCGGUGAAAUGCGUUGAUAUCGGGAGGAACUCCGGCGGCGAAGGCGGCUCACUGGACCACAACUGACGCUGAGGCGCGAAAGCUAGGGGAGCAAACAGG
rnacentral:rRNA from 1 species